rnacentral:lncRNA from 1 species
CCUACUUCAUUUCGUUCAGACAGCUUGUGUUCUCUCUCACUCUCUCUCGUCCCUCUCACUUUCUCUUCUUAGUUGUAAAUGUUGGUUCUCAUCCUCUUGCCAUUUCUUUUUCCUUUAUUAUUCAUUAUUUUGUCAAUAUAUUGGGUUGUGAAACAUAAGUGAAUCAUAUGCUAAAUAUAUAGAUCACUACGUGGAACUCAAAUGCAAUGUUUUUUUUACUGUCAUUUUUCUUCUAUUCUUUGUUAUUUUAUGAAUAUAUUGAGUUGUGAAACAUAAGUGAAUCUUAUGCUAAAUAUAUAGAUCACUAUGUGGAACUCACAUGCUAAUUGUUUUUUUUGUUAGAUCUAAAUAGAUCUAUAAAUAUAUUGCUAUAUUUAUUUGUAGAUCUAAAUAGAUCUAUAAAUAUAUUGUAAAUAAACGUAGAUCUAAAUAGAUGUAUAUAAACUCUUGUAUUUUUUUUUCUUGUUUAAUGUUUUAAAUGAGAUGUGUGAUGAGGACUGAAAUAUGCACCAGCGCUGUGCUAAACAUAACGGGAAUAUUUCUAGUUAUGAUUAUUAUUAUUAUUAUUGUUAUUGUGAUUAUUUCUGAUAUUUGGUACAGGAUUGCCCUAACUCUCAGCUUGGCUCAGCUCGGCUCCGCCUUCCAGCUCUGAUGACUCAAUUUCAAGAUGUAGAUUAGAAUAACGGGAUUUGGGCUUGAUUCAUUGGGCUAAUGGGCUUUAGGGGUCUAGUGGGCCCAAGGGCCUUAGGUUUAUAUUCAUGCUUAUAAAUAGGGCCUUGAGGCAUAGAUUAGGGAGGAUAGUCAUUUUUUCUAGCCACAACUUGUAAACUGUAAAAUACUCUCUCAAUUAUAGUGGAAAACCCCCAAAACCCCGUGGACGUAGGUCUUCUCGACCGAACCAUGUAAAUCUGGUGUCGUUUAUUGCUUUCUAGUUUAGGUGUUGGUUUCUCGUUUCACCAACUGGCGCCGUCUGUGGGAAAAUCGAGCUAAGGCGUGAGAUUCAUUGUUUUACAAUCACUGUUCAUCGGGUUACUGUUCAUCGGAGUUAUUGUUCAUCGGAUUACUGUUCAUCUGGUUACUGUUCAUCGUAAAAAAAGAAAAAAAAAUGGGAAAAAUUAUUUGGCCGGCUGAUUUCUUUCCUAAGAUCCGGCGUCAAUGGAGGCUGAUGUUCUGGUUUCCAGAUCCCGGAACAGGGAUGCUCGAUUCUGCGAUCCCAGUUUUCAGAUCGGGAUAUGGGUUUAUGUUCUUUGAUCCAUCAGAUUUUCAAGCAACCAUAUGGCUUUCGGUCCUAUUCAUCUCCAACAGAAAGGAAAAGAGAAGGGGAAUUUUUGCAAAAAAUCAGAAGCUCGAUUCAUCACUCCCUCUGGAUUUAAAUCUCAUAGAACUCCACCGCCGAUCUUAGCUCCACCGUUGGUCGCAGGGUCUCCAUUUCUCAGGCAGCAUUUUGCACCCUGUCGCCGCCGUCGCUGCACGCAUCUCUAGCUUCCGGCCUUCAAGAGAGUCCGAUUGAAAAUCCAGUCGCAGCCCAACAAUCGCUGCCCCGACAAUAAUCGAAGCUCGCCGUUUUCCAUCACCAUCUCCAAUUCAGAUCCAAUUGAAGCUAAGUUAUCC